rnacentral:rRNA from 1 species
UAGCGGGGGGGGCAAGCGUUGUUCGGAAUUACUGGGCGGUAAAGGGCUCGUAGGCGGCCAACUCAGUCGGACGUGAAACUCCCUCGGCUUAACCGGGGAACUGCUUCCGAUACUGGAUGGCUUGAGUGUGGGAGAGGGAUGCGGAAUUCCAGGUGUAGCGGUGAAAUGCGUAGAUAUCUGGAGGAACACCGGUGGCGAAGGGCGGCAUCCUGGACUACUACUGACGCUGAGGAGCGAAAGCCAGGGGAGCCAAAGCGGG